GGGGUGGGCGUGGAGAGAAUUCUUCUGUGGGUCCUCUGGUGUUGAGUGGUCGGCUUGGUGUGGUGUGCGGAGGAGCUCCAGGCCCGUCGGCGCGGAGUGGUCUCACGUGUGAAACAUGGCUACAGAUUGGCUGGGAAGUAUUGUGUCCAUCAAUUGUGGAGAUAGCUUGGGUGUCUAUCAGGGAAGAGUGUCAGCUGUGGAUCAGGUCAGCCAGACCAUUUCUCUCACCCGGCCUUUCCAUAAUGGAGUGAAGUGUCUUGUUCCAGAAGUCACCUUCAGGUGAGUGUCCUGACUGACUCUUCUGAAUCCAACCUGGUGGUCUGUGGAGCUUGAACCUAGGUCUGAUUGCUAGUAUUCUCUUGGCAUAUGGCCGCUUUUU
rnacentral:lncRNA from 10 species